CGUCGACAUCCCUGCUUGCCGACCAAGGGCUAUUUGGUCAUUUUAGUCCAGCUGUAUAUUGAAUUGUCUACUAUGUCCCUUAUGACUGUUACUGAACCCUAAUUAGAAUAGGGAUUUCUAGGUCAAUUUGCAGUCCACCGCUUCUCACUCUUCACCUUUCUGAUCUUUUUCUUCCUUCAGUUAUACAAGUUCAAGUCCGUUUCCUUUGCGGAUUUGUACCACUUUUGUAUUCAUCGGUUCUUGAUGUUGUGUCAUUUUUUUGGACAAAGAGAAAUUGGGGUUUCGGCUGAGUUUCUCUACCGCCGAAAGUCUCCACAUCGUCUAACCACAAAUUAAAGCUGGUUUCUUCUUCUCCAGUUCUAUUUCCGCCAUUAGCUAGAGGAAUAUCUUAUAUUUUGAUUUUAAGGAACUGAAUUUUCGGUUUAUGAAAUUGGAGUUGGUGGUGAUAUCUAAGGCUCUGAAUGCUUCGACAACUUCGUCAAUUGGGUGGUAAAGUGAGUUGCCGUUGGAUUUCAAGAAGAUUAAGAGAAGUAAAGAGAGGUUCUCGGUGGUGAGAGUUAAGCUACGGUGGAGCAAACUGUUUCUUUUGGAAUUCUUUGCUAAAAUCACAGUACAAUUUAGCUGCAUUUGGAUAUAACAAAGAAAACAGAAGGAGUAUAUCGAUUAUAAGCAUUCUUUCAGUUGGUUUGCUCAAAAGUUAUGAUGCCAAUUACUCUAGCUUUACAUCAUACCAAAGCCGUUGGGUUCUGUUAAGAGUACAAUCAUUUGCGUGAAGUCAUUGAUGCUACCUGCACAUACUUGAUCAACAAAACUAUAAAGUUUCUUCUCAGAUGAAACACAAUGUUUUUCGAGAAAGUGUUAGAUUCUAUGGUAAAUGUUGGUGUUUGCUAUGAUGUUGAUAUUUGUUGAAGAAAUGCUUUUCUGUACUUGUAGAAACUGAAGGUUUACAGGCUUGUAUGAUAAGAGAGAGGAAGGAAACUGUCAGUAUGAUAAGAGAGAGGAAGGAAACUGUCAGUAUGAGUAGAAUGACUUCUGCUUAAAUUCUCAUGUCUUGCUGACUACAACAAAUGCUUGUCCUCGCAUUCAUCAGCUGAGGACUAAACCUAUAGAAUGUUGUUCAAGCAGUAGGCAGAUAGACCUUGAAAUGAGGAAAAACUGGAUAAUGUGACUCGAAGCUGUGAAAAGGGAUUGUGUUGCUGUUCUUUUAUCUUCAAAAUGGCUUUUUUGCCGUAAACUUAACCUUCGCCCAACUUUAACUACCACUUCUAUGUAAAAAGAACUAAGAAAAUUGAAUAUGAAAGUUGAGCAAGGAAUGACUAAUGUCUUCCUGCUGUCUGCUAUUGUUCUUGUAAUAGGUUUUAUGUCAUUGCCCGGGCCAAUCCCAUCUAGUAUUCUCCUAUAUAAGAAGCACGGUAGAAACAGGUGAAGCAGAGACGUCUUCGUCGACAUGCCAGCUUCCACCGUUUUAUUUUUACCCCUAUUUUUCGGUGUUAUUACAUUAAUUGCCAUUAUACAAUUUGGUAAAUAAAGAAAAGUUUUGAGGUAUUUUCAAAGCCUACUUUCUCUCCAGUGAAAAAGGAAAAAGGUGGGACCCACAAUUUAGAGAACAAAGGAAAUUUUGAAACAGGUGAAGCAUAGACGUCUUCGUCGACAUGCCAGCUUCCACCGUUUUAUUUUUACCCCUAUUUUUCGGUGUUAUUACAUUAAUUGCCAUUAUACAAUUUGGUAAAUAAAGAAAAGUUUUGAGGUA